GUGUGACUUCUGAAACUCGGAUCUCGUCCGUGCCCUCGGAGUCUUUGUGAAAUAGCGAUUUGGCCUGGUUGCCACCUAGUGAAGGCUCUGGCCCAGGCUUCCUCCGGUUUUCCUUUUGACCAGUGCUUUCCUUCUUUCCUAUAAUGCCUCAUGUCCGCUUUGAAAGUGCCUCCUGAUUCUUGGCCAGCUGAUUCUUUUAAAAAUCCUGUUCUUGGCCAGUUUUUUAAGGAUAUCAGGGGGCUCCAGCUGAGACCUGCCCACCACUCUCAACUGCAAUAAUUCUAUUUCAUUCUAAACAAAUCAGCCCAUACGUUUUACAAACCUAGAGACAUAGCCCACACCAUAUCAGGGUUGCUUGUGAUGAUAGACAUUUCUUGAAAAGGAGGGAGAGACCUCAAAUACAGGCGAGAUAAUCCGAAGAUUACUUUGUGUGCAAUUCUGAGAAUCACAGAUCAGGGAAACAGCUCUUUCCUACCACCUUGCUCUCCGUUGUCUAGCUUCAUCUGUCGGUGAUGAUGGCUCUGGAAUGCUCCUAAAAUAAGUACAAUUUGACAUGGUUUGCUUGCAGAGAAGUGAUGAAGUUCAUGUGUGGUCAAGGGCCUGGGCUUGGCACCAGUUUGAGCCUUGGCUCUGCUCUUACUGGCUGCGUAAUGCUGAGCAUGCUAUUUAACCUCAUUUUCUUAUUGCUAAAAUAACAGGCCUUACUUCUUAGGGUGUUAUAAGGACACGAAUAUCUCACCAAUUAUGAGAUAAUUCGUGGAAAGGACUCUGUGCGCACCUGGUAAGCGGAGAACAAAUGUGGCUGUUAAUGUUUCGGUACCCAUGUUCCCCGUUGGGGGCAGCUUACUCCCAGUUCUCUAAGGAAGGCACAUACAGCUCAGAACGUUAAUUGAGGGAGGUGCCUGACUGUGGACCAAAUGUGUGAAACUAUGGCUUCUGUAUUUUCAAACAGAAAACUAUAAGGAAAACACCUCAUUAUGCUGAGUAGCUUGUAAGGUAAAAGUCCAAAUAAAAAUGGAUGUUAGAGUGUGGAGAGCGGGUGUCUAAUGGAAUUCAGCUUUGACAGCUGCAGGUACAAGCUCUUGAAAAGAAAUGCAUAAAAAAUUCUGGGCCAGCUCCAGAAGAACCUCACGAGCAAAGACGCCAUAAACAAAACCAAGCCCAGAGGUGCUUGAGAAUUUCCGAAGCAGAGGACAUGUUAUUACUACACCCUAUAUCUUGUGAAAUAUCUUCACUACACAGUUGGCUCUCCACGUACAAUCUCAAAGGGCAGGGCCGUGACGAAGCUGUCUGGAAAGGGCCCUCUUUGGAGAACUAGAGACUUGAGUUCCUGGAACAAAUUGCAAGGAAGGCCCUUCCUUGUUGAGGAAGCUUCCGAUUUGUGUAGUUUAGAGAGUUCUGAGAUGGUUGUCUCUGGCACCUCAGAGUAACUGGGAGGGGCUGUUCAUUAUGAUGGUGGCUUUCUGUUUGUCUCUACUUGCUGAAGUAAUGACUUCUCUGAACUGAGUGAUCUUUGUGUAAGAUCAGUGAUCUUCUCAGCUUGCCAGGCUGUGUGUGUACAAGGUGAUAAGGAGGCAAAGCCCCAAGCCACUAACACUACUGGCCUCCAGGUAAUGUUAAGCUACUUGUGAGUUACUGGCCCCUGGUAAACAGAAGGGAGAUCCACCCAGUGUGUCUUUGCAACUAACCUGUUGCCUUGGGAAUGGGUAAUUUCAUCCCCUGGGGCCUCCAUUAAUGUCCUAUAAAAUAGGAACGUUGGGUUUAAUUUUUGAGAAUACUUCUAGCCUUAAAGUUUAUCAGCCUCUGAGGCUCCAGGCUCCCAGGAACAGAAACUAUACUGCCGGGCAUCUGUGAAUCUUGUGGCAACGUUGCCAAUGUAAAAUCUCUUCUCUGGUGGCCUGUGUUAACCAAUUUAUUUCAGAAGCUGAAUUCACAAGAAGUUUCCCCACCAGAGAGUUUAACUGCGGUUAAGAGCUCAGACCUGGGUUUAAAUGCUGCUCUGCCACGUACCAGUUCUGAGAAUCUGUAGCCGGUCACAAUGGGAAGCAAAGGAGGGUUCGCCUUGCUCGGGCUCCUGUUCAGCCUGGCUGUCGUCUGCCAUGUAGAUUAAUCACUUCCGGUUGAAAGUAGGAAAAAGCUUCUCAAUUGCACAGUUAAAUGGAUUUUGAAAUCUGGAAAUUCCCUUUGCACUUGCCUCAGGGUCCAAAAAACUGCUGCUGGAACUGUAGUUUGAGCUUGGAAAAAUACAUCUGCUGCAGAUAUAUGUGGGAAGGAAGCCCACUCUGAGUUGCUGACCUCUGACCCACACUAAUGGAGCUGGUGGGCUUGCUUCUGCUGCCAGGGUGAGUCAUUGCUGGUCUACCAGGUUCUGACGGGCAUUCUUCCUGA